CCGAUACGAGCUGUUUUGAAGGAUGAUCACUGACAUACAGCUUGCGAUUUUUGCGAACAUACUCGGAGUGUCGUUAUUCCUGCUUGUCGUCUUGUAUCAUUACGUCGCCGUCAACAAUCCGUCAAAACGAGCGAAAGACGAGUAGUUUUAAAGCUCAAGAUUUGGUCGGAACUAAAGCCUAGAAGUGACAGGGACAGCAGAACUGAUUCUUGAGUAGCAGCUGUGUUUGUGAUUUCUGAAUAAAAUUAUUGUACAUGAUAA